AUUGAACGCUGGCGGCAGGCCUAACACAUGCAAGUCGAGCGCGCGGCGGACGGGUGAGUAAUGUGUGGGAAACUGACUGAUGGAGGGGGAUAACUACAGGAAACGGUAGAUAAUACCGCAUACCAUCAGAUGUGCCCAGAUGGGAUUAGCUAGUAGGUGUGGUAACGGCUCACCUAGGAGACGAUCCCUAGCUGGUCUGAGAGGAUGACCAGCCACACUGGAACUGAGACACGGUCCAGACUCCUACGGGAGGCAGCAGUGGGGAAGAUUGCACCAUGGGCGCAAGCCGGAUGCAGCCAGGCCGCGUGUUUGAAGAAGGCCUUCGGGUUGUAAAGCACUUUCAGCGGGGAGGCGUUACCCGCAGAAGAAGCACAGGCUAACUCCGUGCCAGCCGCCGCGGUAAUAC
rnacentral:rRNA from 1 species